rnacentral:rRNA from 1 species
UAGGGGAUAUUAGAAAUGGACGAAAGUCUGAUCUAGCAACACCGCGUGUGCGAAGAAGGCCUUCGGGUUGUAAAGCACUUUUUGGAAGGAUUAGGAAGGAAUGUACUUCCAGAAUAAGUCUCGGCUAACUACGUGCCAGCAGCCGCGGUAACACGUAGGAGGCGAACGUUAUCCGGAUUUACUGGGCGUAAAGCGCGUGUAGGUGGUUCUGUAAGUAGGGCGUGAAAGCUCCUGGCUCAACUGGGAGAGGCCGUUCUAAACUACAGAACUAGAGGAUGGUAGGGGGAGGUGGAACUCCAGGUGUAGCGGUGGAAUGCGCAGAUAUCUGGAGGAACACCAGUGGCGAAGGCGGCCUCCUGGACCAUUCCUGACACUCAGACGCGAAAGCUAGGGUAGCAAACG